rnacentral:rRNA from 1 species
AAUCAACGCUGGCGGCGUGCCUCAGACAUGCAAGUCGAACGAUUAAACUUUCCUUCGGGAAAGAUAUAAAGUGGCGCACGGGUGAGUAACACGUAAGUAAUCUACCCUCGAGUGGGGAAUAACGUCCGGAAACGGACGCUAAUACCGCAUAAUGCAGCGGCACCGCAAGGUGACAGUUGUUAAAGAUUUAUCGCUUGAGGAGGAGCUUGCGGCAGAUUAGCUAGUUGGUAAGGAAUGGCUUACCAAGGCUACGAUCUGUAACCGGUCUAAGAGGACGGUCGGUCACACUGACACUGAAUAACGGGUCAGACUCCUACGGGAGGCAGCAGUCGGGAAUUUUGGGCAAUGGGCGAAAGCCUGACCCAGCAACGCCGCGUGAAGGAUGAAGUAUUUCGGUAUGUAAACUUCGAAAGAAUGGGAAGAAUAAAUGACGGUACCAUUUAUAAGGUCCGGCUAACUACGUGCCAGCAGCCGCAGU